UCCUCAGAGAACACCGUGUUGGAAACUAAGUUCAGCAUCGUGGCGAAAGCGACUUCGCCUAUGUUUACGCUUGUUCUCUCCUCGGCUUUUUUGUGAAGGUGUUGGAUUAGUUGUUGAACUUUCCGGUGACGGAGGUGUUGGAGGAGGUCGAGGCGUUGUGCGGUGAAUAUUUGAGUGGUGCAUAUCCGGCGACGGUUGCGCCACCGUGAGUCGGCUGGGGCCCAAGCGAGGGUGUCG
rnacentral:lncRNA from 1 species